AUUGCAUAUGUAAACAGACUUCUAUGGAAUAUAUGUAAAUGAUUUUAUUCAAUAGAGACAAAGUUUUUCCAUUGCAUUUCCGCCUGAUUUGCGCCUUACCAAAGUCUCUGCUGUUGUUGUUGCAGUUGUUGCUGUUAGCCUGGAGCACAUAAAAUUCAUUUAAUUACGCAAAUGUAUGCAUGUUCAUGCAACUCCUGCACUCGUUAAUUUUGAGCGUACAUGAAAUCCGACACAAGAUAUUGGAGUACAUGAGUACAUGAGGAACAGAGGCUGGCUGCAUCGAUAAACUGCACUCAGGUCAAGCUGUUGCCGCUGCUGGCAGCAACUGCAGCAGACGCAUGCCACAGGCUGCGGCUUUUUGGGAGCAGGCAUCGGCUCGUGUAUUUGUAGUUCAUAAAUUGAAUGGCUCGCUGGACCGGGAAGCAACUGUGUGUGGUUUAUGGCCCGAUGGCCCGAUGGAGGUCAUCGCAGUGCUGGAACCUUGGCAAUAAUCAUAAUUCCUGAGCUGGACUUUCACAUUGUGCCGCAUCGCAAAAAGCAGGUUGCAUCAUUUUCCACACCUAAAAAGAUGAGCGCGCAAAAUCAAUCAUAAUUAAACACAAACACAAACAAAAAACCAAGUCAAGGUUAACCAGCAGACGGAAGGUAGAUCACGGCUGGGUCGGGCAGGUUCUUCUCAAAUGCAUUUGCAGCUCAUUAAAAACGCACAAGUGCAGCGCGCAGCAGAGCGCGAGUGCGAGACGAUCGGCAGCUGAGCGCAUGUUGCUAUCUCGCUCUGACAAAGGUGAGUCUCUUACCUUUUAGUUUUUUUUUUUUUUUAUGGCUGCUUUUGUAGAUGAGUUGACCUUGGUGUGAAUUUUAAGCGGAAAUAUUAUAUUGAGCAGACGGUUUUUUACGAUCUUUUUAUGGCGUUUGCAAAAAAUGAAAAAAAGAAAAAAAAAAUGGAAAUACAACUAAAAAGUAUAUUCCCGCCGCGUUUCACGGCGCGUAGCAAACUGUUUUGGAUUUGGUUUUUUAGCUGCAACCUCUGGAAAUUUAUGAUUUAUGAUGAUGCCCGUGACCCUUUAGCCAACAGGCAAAGAUCAGGCAUCGGACACAGGAUCGGCUGAGGGAUCGCCGACUGCUGUUUUGUAAACACUCAGUAUGAAUCCCAGUACCCGCUCGCUUGGACGUGGCGCAUUAACUACAGAAUAAACGCGACGGCACUGCAGAAAUACCGAAAUGAGUUAAAUUCGUUAAGUUGUGCAGAAAAUAUGAAAAAUAUUAAAAAACACAUGGCGAGAAGUGCAUAAAAAACGAAUGCGAGAAAUGUUUCUGUUGUGCAUAUGCAAUGCAUCUAUAUCUGUAUAUAUAUGGGCACAGUGUAGUGUGUGUGAGUGUGUAUGUGAAAAUAAUUAUAUAAAAAAAACUGCAAAAGUUGAAAGUCUGUUUACUACAAGGCCUGUUUGGCGGGCACAUACUUUUUUGAGACGGCACACAUGCACACAUGCACACAGGACAGAUGUGAGUGGAGUUUUACUCUGGACGACAGAAAAAAUUUACAACAUAUGAGCAUUAAAAAUUCGAAAUGCGUUUAGGCCAAAAGAAGCUGCUCCCAGGCUGUAAAUCAGGGCCCCAACGAGCUGUGGCAUUGCGCGCAUAGCUCAUCAAGAUGCUGGCCAAAUCCGCAGUCAAAACAAAUCGUUAAAAUGCCAUAAAAAGUCCAUAUGCAGCCGGCAUGGGCAGCGGCAGAGGAGAGGCUGGCUGGCUGGAGGAGGCAAAUGCAUUCAAAUAAAAUUUUACCACCGUUUCCUCAAACAUCAUCAACAUCAAACUAACGGCAGCAACAUCCGAGCCACCUCAUAAAAGUAACGAUGUCUAUGUCUAUGGAAAAAAAGAGCAUCUGAUGGAUGCAAACAUCGCAAUCACAGCCUCCGCUGAGCAGUUUGAGGGGUAUCAAAAUAAUUAUGGCAUACGUCACGGAACUUGGCUUUUAUGUCUUUUAUAUUGAUUGUCAUCAUGUCACACUAACAGAUCGUAAAAAAGUCGUAAAACCCAACUCUCGAGUGCAAAAGCAAAUGAACGCCCCAGCGAGUCGCAACUGCACUCAAACAGGAUCAGGAUGCUGGCAAAUGACUCGGUCAGAGUCUCAGGACACUUCAACCCCUGACCCAAAGGAUCCUCGUCGAGUGAGUGAGUGAGUUAGUGACUGAGCUGAGCCGAGCUGAGCUGAGCUGAGUGAGUGAGCGGAUUUGGCAGCGCAUCGGCCCAAGUGGCGUCAAGUCGUAAAAAGAACAUAAAAUUCGGGCCAGGCGCUUGUAUUAACCGCAAUUUGUUUAUAUAGUUGUUAAAAUGCCAUUUCGGCUUGUUGUGCUAUUCUGCUUGGCAUUUAAUUGUCGGCUGCCGCCUGUAUUUCUUUUUACGACCACACAAAGUGGGCAAACCUAAUAAAAUUUAUUUUUACGACAAUUUAAAUGGUCUCUCUUCGAAUACGCCGAGAGUACCGCCUGACACAGAGCUGACAACAGGUUGUCGCUGCUCGACCAUUUGUUUUUCAAUAAUUCCGAGAUUAUAUAAUAAUGAUAUACUUAAGCUAAUCCGUGAACGCAUAACAUAAUUUAAGAGCCCAUCAAAUGGGCCAAGUAGGAAAAAAGAUGAAGCAGUAAAAAAAAUAAAAUAUUCCUUA